GGCGAGUGAAGCGGUAAAAGCUCAAAUUUGAAAUCUGGUACUUUCAGUGCCCGAGUUGUAAUUUGUAGAAUUUGUCUUUGAUUAGGUCCUUGUCUAUGUUCCUUGGAACAGGACGUCAUAGAGGGUGAGAAUCCCGUUUGGCGAGGAUACCUUUUCUCUGUAAGACUUUUUCGAAGAGUCGAGUUGUUUGGGAAUGCAGCUCAAAGUGGGUGGUAAAUUCCAUCUAAAGCUAAAUAUUGGCGAGAGACCGAUAGCGAACAAGUACAGUGAUGGAAAGAUGAAAAGAACUUUGAAAAGAGAGUGAAAAAGUACGUGAAAUUGUUGAAAGGGAAGGGCAUUUGAUCAGACAUGGUGUUUUUUGCAUGCACUCGCCUCUCGUGGGCUUGGGCCUCUCAAAAAUUUCACUGGGCCAACAUCAAUUCUGGCAGCAGGAUAAAUCAUUAAGAAUGUAGCUACUUCGGUAGUGUUAUAGCUUUUUGGAAUACUGUUAGCCGGGAUUGAGGACUGCGCUUCGGCAAGGAUGUUGGCAUAAUGGUUAAAUGCCGCCCGUCUUGAA
rnacentral:rRNA from 1 species